UGCACCUGAAAGUAGUCAAAUGCCAAAAUAAUUGACUUCUUCGAGUGCUAGUUCAAAGAUUUUCUUUUUAAACUAAUAAUUGCAAUUCUUAUUGAGACAGGCUGAAGAGACUUUCUUCCAAGGUAAAGAAAUGAAAAUUUGAGAUGGUUCUGAAGGUUCCCACUUCCUGCCUGGUGUUCGUGACUGGGUCAACCUCUGAAGGAGCAUCUUGGGUGCUGCCCUGCAAAGGGUGUUUUUUUUUCUGUUUUUAUCUGCAAAACACUUCCAGAACCACAGAGGAAGGAGCUGGUAUUUGAACAACACCCUUGUGUAAAAAUCACAGCAGGAUAUGGCUGUUUUUACUGUGCUUGCUUUGAUGUGUGUGUGUGGACCUGGUAUGGUAGUGACAAUGCAGUGCUUCUCUCUUCUUUGGGGUUUGCCUUUGGUUUUCUGAGUUGGGGCACUUGAGGUGGGCUUGGCUGGCCUGAAACAGCAGCGCACUCGAACCAUUCUGGUGUUUGAGUGUCUGACACCCAUCCCCUGUGGUGCUUGUUGGGGUGUACGGACAUGUGCACCCACAACAGAGCCGUGCUUACGUGGAUAUCGGUCUUGGACAGUUCCCAUUCCCUGACUGCCUGGAUACAGCUGUUUGCAGGGCCAUGGAAUACGGGAUCAGGGAAUUCUCUGUUUAAAAGUGUCUCUUCUCUGCUCUUCUUGCUCAGCCGUUUGACCCCAUGAGCAGCUCAGCUGCUUUGUUCCAGGUGCCAGAAGUGAUGGUGUUAGCAUCGUUCAACUCUGUCAGCAAAACAAAUGGAUGUGCAUCCAGACCUCAACAUUUCUGUGGCCUGUUUUGUGUGCACAUCCGAAGCCCAAUGUCUUGAUGACAGUAAUAUUUUAAUGGGAGAGGAACAAGGGGUAUCCUUGUCAGCUAGUGCACAGUCCAUCAAAUACAAAACUGCACAUCCAGGUUUGUUUCCCAUUCCCUGCCAAAAGGGAAUAGAGGUAGGGAAUCUGCACCUACUUGCUGCUUUGACUCAACAGCUGUAGAAACACUUCUGAUUAAAUGAGUGCAACUCUGUGUAGAGGCAAGUCUUCAAAGCCCUUAAACGAGAAAAUGGUGAAAACACUGGCGGUUUCCCAUUCUCCUGCACUGCUGUAUGACUUGUGUUCUGCUAUUUCUAUGUCAGAUCCCUCCUAUUUUCUCUAAACUCGAGGGAGCUCAGGUACCUGGUUAAAAAUACCUGCAGCAAUUAGAGACUGCAGUUAGACUUUGAGGUAAAUCUUGUUGGGAACAAGAGCGAACAAGUGAUUGCUGAACUCGUCAUGCCUCCAGAAUAUCCUUUCUUCAAAGGUGGCAUCUGCAGAGCCCUCGGAGGAAAACGUUUUGGGGUAUAAACAGGCAAAAUUACUUCUUGUAGCUGAAAUCCCAGCUUAUAAAAUAACAUGUUGCCAGGGCUGUGUUUUGUUGGCUGUAAAACUAAGUAAGAAUAAAUGAGUAGAGUGUGGUAAAUAAACUGCGAAG
rnacentral:lncRNA from 1 species